GACGAACGCUGGCGGCGUGCUUAACACAUGCAAGUCGAACGAAGUGGCGAACGGGUGAGUAACGCGUAAUCAACCUGCCCUUCAGAGGGGGACAACAGUUGGAAACGACUGCUAAUACCGCAUACUGAAGGAGGGGAUUGCGUCUGAUUAGCUAGUGGGAGGGGUAACGGCCCACCAAGGCGAAGAUCAGUAGGCGGCCUGGGGAGAGGAACGGCCAAAUUGGGGACGGAGACCGGCCCAGACUCCUACGGGAGGCAGCCAGGGGGAAUUUUUCGGAAAGGAAGGAAGGCUUGAGGAGCAACGCCCGGGUGGGGAUGACGGCCUUCCGGUUGUAAAGCUUUGGUUAUCGGGACGCGGUACCUGAAUAGAAAGCCACGGCUAACUACGUGCCAGCAGCCGCGGUAAUAC
rnacentral:rRNA from 1 species